rnacentral:rRNA from 1 species
CCAGAGAACUUAGCAGAGAUGCUUUGGUGCCUUCGGGAACUCUGAGACAGGUGCUGCAUGGCUGUCGUCAGCUCGUGUUGUGAAAUGUUGGGUUAAGUCCCGCAACGAGCGCAACCCUUAUCCUUUGUUGCCAGCGGCUCGGCCGGGAACUCAAAGGAGACUGCCGGUGAUAAACCGGAGGAAGGUGGGGAUGACGUCAAGUCAUCAUGGCCCUUACGGCCAGGGCUACACACGUGCUACAAUGGCGCAUACAAAGAGAAGCGACCUCGCGAGAGCAAGCGGACCUCAUAAAGUGCGUCGUAGUCCGGAUUGGAGUCUGCAACUCGACUCCAUGAAGUCGGAAUCGCUAGUAAUCGUAGAUCAGAAUGCUACGGUGAAUACGUUCCCGGGCCUUGUACACACCGCCCGUCACACCAUGGGAGUGGGUUGCAAAAGAAGUAGGUAGCUUAACCUUCGGGAGGGCGCUUACCACUUUGUGAUUCAUGACUGGGGUGAAGUCGUAACAAGGUAGGCGUAGAUGA